AAGCCCCGGAGCCCUUUUAGGGCUCUUUUUCAAACUUGCAUUUUGACGUGUAUCACUUCAAGGCUU
rnacentral:tRNA from 1 species